rnacentral:rRNA from 1 species
GACGAACCGUGCGAACGUUGUUCGGAAUCACUGGGCUUAAAGGGCGCGUAGGCGGGUGGUCAAGUCAGGGGUGAAAUCUUUCAGCUCAACUGGAAAACAGCUUCUGAUACUGACUGUCUUGAGGGGGGUAGGGGCAUGUGGAACUUCCGGUGGAGCGGUGAAAUGCGUAGAUAUCGGAAGAACACCGGUGGCGAAGGCGGCCUGCUGGGCAGUGGCUGACGCUGAGGCGCGACAGCGUGGGGAGCAAACAGGAU